rnacentral:rRNA from 1 species
CCUACGGGUGGCAGCAGUGGGGAAUAUUGGACAAUGGGGGGAACCCUGAUCCAGCGACGCCGCGUGAGUGAAGAAGUACUUCGGUAUGUAAAGCUCUAUCAGCAGGGAAGAAAAUGACGGUACCUGACUAAGAAGCCCCGGCUAACUACGUGCCAGCAGCCGCGGUAAUACGUCGGGGGCAAGCGUUAACCGGAUUUACUGGGUGUAAAGGGAGCGUAGACGGGUUCGCAAGUUCGAUGGGAAAGGUCGGGGGCCAACCCCGGGACUGCAUUGGAAACUGUUGAACUGGAGUGCAGGAGAGGUAAGCGGAAUGCCUGGUGUAGCGGUGAAAUGCGUAGAUAUUAGGAGGAACACCAGUGGCGAAGGCGGCUUACUGGACUGUAACUGACGUUGAGGCUCGAAAGCGUGGGGAGCAAACAGGAUUAGAUACCCCGGUAGUC